rnacentral:ncRNA from 2 species
UACAAAUUUCAGGGGAACUUUAAGUAGUUGAGAGGUGGAGACACGACCCUUAGAACUUGAGCUAGUUAAUACUAGUGUAAGGAGAAGACAUGUAUCAAAA